UACAGAGGUCCCAAGCGUUGUUCGGAUUCAUUGGGCGUAAAGAGCUCGUAGGCGGUUUGUCGCGUCGAAUGUGAAAACCCGGGGCUCAACCCCGGGCCUGCAUUCGAUACGGGCAGACUAGAGUUCGGUAGGGGAGUCUGGAAUUCCUGGUGUAGCGGUGAAAUGCGCAGAUAUCAGGAGGAACACCGGUGGCGAAGGCGGGACUCUGGGCCGAUACUGACGCUGAGGAGCGAAAGCGUGGGGAGCAAACAGG
rnacentral:rRNA from 1 species